AAUACAAUUGCAAUCGUUGUGAUUAGUUAAAUUCAUGGUAUUUGUGAUGCAACGACGCAUUGUAGCCAAUAGUGAGCGAGCGACAACAAAUCAGAGGUGAUUGCGAUCGUGACAUUGUAGCGGUCAUUUUACUGCAAUCGAACCCCUCAAUAGCU